AUACUUACCUGGAAAGGACAAUACCAUGAUCACAAAGAUGGUUUCCCUAUUGCGAGGCUUAUCCAUUGCACUUCAGAUGUGCUGAACCAUGCCAUUUCCCCAAAUGUGGGAAACUCGACUGCAUAAUUUGUGAUAGUGGGGGACUGCAUUUGCUAUUUCCCC